rnacentral:rRNA from 1 species
AUUGAACGCUGGCGGCAUGCCUUACACAUGCAAGUCGAACGGUAACAGGUCUUCGGAUGCUGACGAGUGGCGAACGGGUGAGUAAUACAUCUGAACGUGCCUAGUAGUGGGGGAUAACUACUCGAAAGAGUGGCUAAUACCGCAUGAGAUCUACGGAUGAAAGCAGGGGAUCGCAAGACCUUGUGCUACCAGAGCGGCCGAUGGCAGAUUAGGUAGUUGGUGGGAUAAAAGCUUACCAAGCCGACGAUCUGUAGCUGGUCUGAGAGGACGAUCACCCACACUGGGACUGAGACACGGCCCAGACUCCUACGGGAGGCAGCAGUGGGGAAUUUUGGACAAGGGGCGCAAGCCUGAUCCAGCAAUGCCGCGUGCAGGAUGAAGGCCUUCGGGUUGUAAACUGCUUUUGUACGGAACGAAAAGCCCUGGGUUAAUACCCUGGGGUCAUGACGGUACCGUAAGAAUAAGCACCGGCUAACUACGUGCCAGCCGCCGCGGUAA